rnacentral:lncRNA from 1 species
AUGAGAGAGAGAGAGAGAGAGAGAGAGAGAGAGAGAGAGAGAGAGAGAGAUGCGAGUUCAUCUCAACAUCAGCGGGCAGGAGCAGACGAGUAUGGAGCUAUCACUGAUGGCAGCGCAGCAUUUGCAAGCAGUCAGCGGGGCCUUCAUGGAUUCUCCAUACAAUGGCAACUCGUCUCUUCAGACGUCCACCUCCAACCUCAACACCAGCUUCUCCAGACCAGCGGAGCAGGAAGAGGAGGGCAAGUUCUCCAGCGACGCCAUCUGGCUGUGGGUGGCUGUCAUUGCAACCAUUGGCAACAUUGUGGUGGUAGCAGUGGUGUGCGCCUGUGCCUUUUAGACCCCGUAGUCUGCCAGAACACAGCCUGAACUCUGAUCCCUCACCCGUCUGCACUUAGCACAGUAUGUAGUAUGCAAGCAACAACCUUCUGUCUCCUUCCUCCAAAAAUGCCCCCCCUUGAGUGCAUUUAAAGGCAGCCGAUCGAUUUCUAUUUUAUUAGCACUCAUUUCUAUAGAUCUGUUUUGUGACUGAACCAAAUAACCGUUCAGUUUAUUCGUCAGAAGAGGUUGGUUACAGUUAGCUUGGUUAUGUAAGCCAGCAUUACACAACAUCUGUCAACUGGAGAUCCACCAAAUCCAUGGGACGCAUGUCUCCAGAUAGGACUCAACUAAGUGUGCAUGUUUGUGGGUGUCAGUUCUCACUCAUCCAGACAGAUGGUACCAUGAGUUAACUUUGCUUCUGGUCAUUCUGCCCACUUCUCUCCGCUUCUGCCUCUUCUGGUGGAGUCAACAUUGUUUUGGUCUAUUUUGGGGCAAUACAGGACCAGUAUAUGAUGCAUGACGACAUAUAUUAUCUGCAAGAGUGAGAAUGUGUUGGUGCAUUCAAGUCGAUUUAGAAAUAUUGCAUCUGAUUGAGUUGAGCGCACGGGAGCAACUUUCUGAGUUGAGAAAAUGCAAAGAUGUCGGAUGCAAUGAAUGCAGGGUCUAUAUUUCAGAGCAAAAUUGUUAAAUUUAAUGAAAUAAUUAGGAUUAUGAACCAAAAGCAAUAUCUGCAUGCAUGGAAUUAUAUGACAAAAUAUACAGUAUAAUGAUUCAAUUUACAGCAUCUUUAUAAAGUGAAUAAAAACAAAGCACAAACACAUUCAGUGCAUUAUUAUCCAUCAUUUUGUAAAUUAUCAGUUUUGUAGCACCCUCUGUUCUUUUUCUUAGUUUUUUAUCUAAGCUACUCAUUUUCUUUUAUUUAUAUAUAAAAAAAAACUUGACUCACUAACACUAGCAUUCACUAUUCUUUUUCUAUUCUAUCUUCUAGUUUUCUUAUUUAAUAUAUAUAUAGUUUUCAGGUAAAUCUACCUACGAAUGACUUACUGAUAGUCUCUGCACAUUAAACCUGUAUAGGAUAAGUGUUAAAAAAGAAAAAAACACAUCACUUUUCAGUUUUUGUCCUGUUUUAGUAAAUCAUAAUUACUGGUGCAGAGUCCACAAACCCAGUGCUCUCCCAUUUAAUUGGGUGUUUUUAGCACAGUCUCUUGUGUUGUUAAAAGAAACAUUAGCCCUGUCAGCUUCAGUCUGAGUUCAUAUUUUAGUGAUCACGUGCACGAUAAUAUUAGUGCUUGAAUGAUCCUCAAUCUCUUCUCCUGUGGGUUACAGAUAUGCCACCUCAUUAAUUCAACCUUUUUUUAUUUUCAAAGCCCAGAAGUCUUUUUUGUGGACUGUUGAUGGUCCACACAGUUAGUAACGGUCUGCUGGAUCUCUGAACUGAGUGUGAUUAAUCAGACCGUGGAGGAGAGCUUCAGGUUCAGAGGUUAAAACACAUUUAGCAUGCAGUCGCUCUGUAUUGUUAAAUCAUGGGUGAACUCGUUCUGUUGGGUUUUGGUUCAGGGAUGAUGUAGUGUAGUAUAAACCCUCUGUUGCAUGCUGUUGCCUGCCUCGGGGUCUUUACUUGGCAAACACAUUAAUGAAUAUAGAAUGGGAAUAAUAGUUAAUAAUGAUGUGAUGAGAUUAAGUAUACCAAUAAAAACAAUAAAACUUUUUCUUGGCCUAUACAUGAAGGAUGCACAUAUAUUUAUACCCAAAUUAUUUCAUAAUUUGUUUAAAUAAUUUGGGUUAAGGAAUUAAAGGCUCUCUUUAAAUCUUAAAUUCAUCAGGCUCAGAUUUGUUGCUCUGUGCUGAAGCCGACUGAAGGCUUGAAUAAUGCCCCUGUAAUUUCUUCAGGAGUUUGGCAGCAGGGCUGUGGUGUUUUUCUGGCCAUGGUUUGAUCUCAGAAAUGUGGCACAGCCCUGCAUCAUGUUUAACUCUGUUCGUGUGCUUGGCUCCGGAGUCAGUGGAGACAUAGGUGCCCAUCACACCUCACCACAAUGUGCAUUAGAGAACAUAAAGCUGGCCCCCCGUGUGCUCCGGCGUGGAGUGAUUCUUCUCGUUUUGGAGGUAAGUUUUGUUUAUAGUAAAUGUGAAGACUCUUUGAACACCUUGUGUUGACUCGUCUGACCUCAGGAGGCCUGACAGCUCUAAGCACAAUAUCCAGGUUCUCUUUCAGGGGCAGUAAGUGUGUUUCCCAGCAUGACGUUCACAUGUGGAGGAUGUUAUAUUCAUGUAAAGACCACAAGGAGGAUCUCAAUGGAUUAUAUAAUCCGGUAAAUACUAAAAGGAUAUGCAACAUUAUUACUGUGUUUUCUGGGAUAAUUUGUGACCCUGGACCACAAAACCAGUCAUAAGGGUCAUUUUUAUAUAUUGAGAUUUAUACAUCAUUUAUUCAUCAAAUUCAUCUUUCCAUUGAUGUGUGGUUUGUUAGGAGGACAAUAUUUGGCUGAGAUACAACUAUUUGAAAAUCUGGAAUCUGAGGUGACAAAAAAAAAAAUAAAUAAAUAAUAAUAAAAAAAAUAUACUGAGAAAAUCGCUUUAAAGUUGUUCAAAUGAAGUACAUAGUAAUCCAUACGUACUUUUAAAGUUGUUACAAAUGAAGUACAUAGUAAUCCAUAUUAGUCAUCAGAAAUUAAGUUUUGAUAUAUUUACAGUAGGAAAUUUACAAAAUAUCUUCAUGAAACACGAUCUUUACUUAAUGAUUUUUGGCAUAAAAGAAAAAAUUAUCAUUUUGACACAUACAAGGUUUUUUAUUUUUGUUUAUUUAUUUAAUUAUUUUUUGGCUGUUGCUAAAAAUAUGCCCAAGCGACUUAAGACUGGUUUUGUGCUCCAGGGUCACAUUCAUUCUCAGUGGGCAUUUGCAUCACAUACAGUAUUUACAUUUCAUGUCUUCUGCACUGUACAGUACCGGUCAACAGUUUGGAAUCAUUAAUGUUUUUAAAACAAGCCUUUUGUGUGAAUUAAAGCUGUUUUAUUUAAUCAAAAAAUUAAUACAGAUGUUUUCUAUUUGAAUAUAUGUUAAAAUCUAAUUUAUUUUUGUGAUUCUAAUAUGCUGAUUUUGUGUCAGUGUGUUUCGAACAUAAUAAUAAUAAUCAGAACUGUUUCUUGAGCAGCGAAUCAGCGUAUUAUAGUGAUUUCUGAAGGAUCAGGAUCCUGAUCAUCCUGUUGGGUUUUAUUUUGUUAUAAUGGCCAUGAAAAUGGAUACAUACUCUUCCAACUGAAUUCGCCUUGAAUCAAAAUCAUCAUUGAAUCCAUUCUGCAACAAAGAAAUGAUAGCCAUGGUUCGAAAACAUGAUUUUAAAGAGCAAGACCAUGAUAAGAGCUCAUCAAAACUGUCCUUGACAGCCACAUAUCUGGAGUUCAUCAUCUGCAUGUGUUUUCGCCUAUAUGAUUUAAAACAUUUUGGCAUUAUUCUGUAUUCUUUAUACAAAUAUAUAACUUAUUCUUGCAAAGGGAUCUACUGUAUGUGGGUUCUUCUGAGCGCUGAACAUCUCUUCUUGUCUUUCAGACUGAAAGAAACAUGUUGCAGCCUAAAGGACGCUUAUAUUAAAGCAUAUUUUCUAAACAAUGAAAUGCUUCGAGACACUUUGUUUGCUGCAAGAGCACAGUGGAAACCUGGUUAGAAGACACAGAAGUGGAGGAGCUUCAAAUGAACAAUAUCUACUAUUGUUUGACAAGUGAAUGCAUGUUGGAGAAAUAGAUUCAUAAAUGUGCUCUACAUGUCUUCAAAUGUUAGUAUUAGUAGAAUUAAUUAGUUUUUUCUUGUAUUUCACAGUUGAAUCACAAAAUGCAUUCCAUAUUUUGUCUAUGUGGUAAAGACACACUGUUUAAAAUGUACAAAAAUCCUCUCAAAAAUGAGCCAAAUAAUUAAAACAAAGAGAACUUUAGUAUUUUUAUUAGAGCUACUAAAAAGUAAUAAAUAAAUAGGAAAAUCAUUAAAAAAAAAAGGUUUUAAAUGAUAAUAUGCAUCUAACUGUUGAAUGUUGUUUAUGUAUUAAUUAAAAACAAGUGCAUAGUUAUUGUGUAUAAAUGUAGAAAAUGCACUUUUUUUACAGUAUGUGCUGGUCAGUAGGAGACUGACUCUAGCUUCAGUCAAGCAGCAGCUGUUCACACAUAUGCAUGGAUAUGAAUGAAUAUGAAUGAACUGCUUGCUCAACAUCGGUCCAAUCUGUGAUCUGUGAGCUAGUAUCACCGGACGCUCAGGGACACUCUUUGUAAACGCCAGCACAAUACAGCACUGUGUUUCACACGAUUGAUUUGUUGCUGAAAAAUACAAGCAGUUACAGUCAUCACAAAUUCUACCGUUAAAUGUUUGAAAUGAAUAUAUGGAAACAUAUGGAUGUGACAAAUAUGUAAAUAUUCUUCCAUUAUUAAAAAAAAAAAAUAAUAAUAAAAAAUAGCAGUCUAAACCGCAUAGGAUGGCACUGAUGUAACAAUUUGAAUCAUAUAAAAACAACCACCAAGAAGAGUCAGAAUGUGUCUCUUUCAUCCCGUUAACAAAACAAUCUGCCUAGAUUUCAGUAAAGUCUUCACUUCUGUGAGUUUUGCCUUAACUAUAUGACGGCAGUUGUUUGCACAUAUAUAAA